ensembl:lncRNA novel transcript
ACAGGAUUAUCUCAUUUCUUACAAAAGUUACCCAUGGUGCUGAGAAAACUAGAAACUGGACUGUAGAUGAUGCUUGUUGUGUUUCUACGCAGAAAUUGCAUGGAACUGAACAUGAAUUGCAUUACAAUUGAAACUGUUUCUAAUAUUAUUCACUAAUGGGCAAAUCCAUUACUUUAGGUCCAUUUCUUAUACAAGGAAAUUCAGUUACUCCGAGGACAAUUCAGCUAGCCAAGAGUCCCUGUACAGUGAGCAAUCUUUUGGGGUCUUAUCUUCUCAUCACUGAAGAAUUUCUAUGUGGACACUAAAGUAAUAUUAAAACCACUCACUCUCACAGGUGGCAAGAAGAAAAGUUUAAGAAUUUCAAGUGGCUUGAUUGGACUCUUCUUCAUGGUCGCUGAGUCAAGGACCUUCUCUUCUAGUGAAUUUAAGGGUUUUGUGGAACACUAGUCUUUCUUUAUGAACUCUGUCCUCUUUUCUCAUACAAUUUAUCUUUUCCACAUAUGGAUGGAAAAAAACUGCAGAAAAUAUAAUGAAAUGGAUAACCAUAUAUUUUUUAAAAUAGAAAUUUUUGAGUAUUGACAUUCAAGGUUUUAAUUCUAGAUUUAAAAAUACAUUUUAUUUACACACUCAUCAGUUAAUGGACGCUUGAAUUAUUUUCACUUUUGGUCUAUUAUGAAUAAUGCUACUAUGAACAUUAAUGUAUAAGUAUUUGUGUGAACAAAUAGAACAGACAUGGUCAGUUCUCUUGGGUAUAUUCGUACAAGUAGAAUUUCUGGGUCAUAUGGCAGCUCUAUGUUUGAUUUUAUGCAGA